rnacentral:rRNA from 1 species
UACGUAGGGUGCAAGCGUUAAUCGGAAUUACUGGGCGUAAAGGGCGCGUAGGCGGCCACCGCAAGUCAGUUGUGAAAUCUCUGGGCUUAACCCAGAACGGUCAGCUGAUACUGCGGGGCUAGAGUGCAGAAGGGGCAACUGGAAUUCUCGGUGUAGCGGUGAAAUGCGUAGAUAUCGAGAGGAACACCUGCGGCGAAGGCGGGUUGCUGGGCUGACACUGACGCUGACAGCGCGAAAGCUAGGGGAGCGAACGGG